rnacentral:rRNA from 1 species
UACAGAGACUGCAAGCGUUAUUCGGAUUCACUGGGCGUAAAGGGUGCGCAGGCGGCCAAGUGUGUUAGGCGUGAAAGCCCGGGGCUUAACCCGGAAUUGCACCUAAAACUACAUGGCUAGAGCAUUGGAGAGGGUAGCGGAAUUCACGGUGUAGCAGUGAAAUGCGUAGAUAUCGUGAGGAACACCAGAGGCGAAGGCGGCUACCUGGACAAUUGCUGACGCUCAGGCACGAAAGCGUGGGGAGCAAAAGGG